CUAAACCGCAUAACAAUUUAACAAACCAUCUUGAUUUGCACGGCGUUUCCCGUUAUAGACGUUCGUCGUCUCUCGCAUUUCGCUUUUGCGUUUUAGGCACACCCGUUUAGGCUUUUGGGGUGGUUCAGAAAUGUUUAACACGUUUUGCAACUAGACUUCAUUUGAAUGACAAUGUUUCCAUAUCUUUAGGUGCAGUUCCUAUCUGCAGCCCUGCAGUGUGCAAAAAUAGAUGGUGGAAAAAUCUGCUCACCAUGCUGAUCUGCACAAUGCCAGCUUCAUUAAGCAAUCUUGAAAUGACCUAUGAACAGACUACACAGUAUUAAAAGACUCUUCCAUUGAGGAAAUUUGUAGCCGUGGACUGUCUUUAGAUGACUCUUCUAUCAAAUAUUUUCCUGCUUUUUGGAGCAAGGAACAUAGCAUGUCUUGACGCCAACCAAGUGUCCUUGGAAAGAUUGUAAAAAAAUGUUUAAGCAGGAAAUACCUAAAGUUGGAGUAUGGUAAAUUUUUUAUUUCCCGUUACUAGUUUUGUAAAACAAAUGGUAAAUUGGUGAAAUGAAACAACACAUGACCUAUUCCUUUAGAUCAAUUGUUUUCACAAGUGGAGAUUGAUUCCACAAUCUUCAGCUUCCCAGGCAGACACUGAUCCACAAAGCCAUGGCUGAUAAUGAUAUAAAAAAUUUAUUAAUAAAAAAAUUUAUAUUUUAUGUUAUUGAUUGCAGAGUCAGAGAACAAUGUGUAAAACCUGAUAUUCUAGCCCUCAAAACCCCAGCUGCCCUUUUGCUUCAACAAGGGUAUAAAGCUAUUAUAAUUUUAGGAGUUAAACAUUGAAACCAAAAACAAAUCAGACAUAUUUUAGUUGGCUUAUUUGCUUAAUGAUAUUGUUACACUUAACUUUAGAAAACCUGGAAGUGUAUACAUAGAUUCAGGGUCAAGUUAAUGAAAUGGUUGAGCCGAAAAUGAAUUUUACAUUACUUUUGAACAGGUCCCAACUCAGUUUGCGCAGCGGAGGCCCCUAAUAUACGACCCAGCAAUCUUUACUUGCGGUCUUCCAGUGCCGGGAAUUUGUUAUGCUCUUAUGCAUGCAAUUGCUCAACAAGGAAUUAGGGAACCAAUUCUGUUGUGGAACGCUGAAGAGAAGAAAUGUUCGCGAAGAUGGGCAAUUCGAGAUCCAAGAAGAAAAGGAGUGCCCAUUGUUUAAAGGCUUAGAGACUCGGCAACUGGUAUUGCUGACCCGUGGUGACAGCGUCGAAUAGGUUGAAGAAGGGUUGCGUUGCAUCGCAAAAUAUUCGCGUCAUGUUAUUUCCGCCAUAGUUGAUACUGAACGCCAUCUUAACGGAGUCCAGUUCCUUCCUGAAGUUGAUUUUACUGAAAAAGGACGAAAAAUGUUGCAUAACUUCUUGUUCGACAUCUGUGAGUUGCAAGGAGUUUUCACAUUGGAGAAAUGCGAGCAGCAGUGUAUCCAUACGUCCGGCCACAGACUAAGAGGUAAAGACUACGAUCUGCUAUAAACCCCUUGAAAAAAUACACC